AUCUAUGACCAUGCUACCCUGAAUGUGCCUGAUCUCAUCUGAUCUUGGAAGCUAAGCAAGGUUGGGCCUGAUUAGUACUUGGAUGGGAGACCAAAGUGCUGGGAUUACAGGCA
ensembl:rRNA 5S_rRNA 5S ribosomal RNA